rnacentral:rRNA from 1 species
CCUACGGGGGGCAGCAGUGGGGAAUUUUGGACAAUGGGCGCAAGCCUGAUCCAGCCAUGCCGCGUGAGUGAAGAAGGCCUUCGGGUUGUAAAGCUCUUUCGGCCGGGAAGAAAUCGCAUGGGUUAAUACCCUGUGCGGAUGACGGUACCGGCAUAAGAAGCACCGGCUAACUACGUGCCAGCAGCCGCGGUAAUACGUAGGGUGCGAGCGUUAGUCGGGCGUACUGGGCGGAAAUCUUGCGCAAGGCGUGAAAGCCCCGGGCUCAACCUGGGAACUGCGCUUAUGACUGGCAAGCUAGAGUACGGCAGAGGGGGGUGGAAUUCCACGUGUAGCAGUGAAAUGCGUAGAGAUGUGGAGGAACACCAAUGGCGAAGGCAGCCCCCUGGGUCGAUACUGACGCUCAUGCACGAAAGCGUGGGUAGCAAACAGGAUUAGAUACCCCAGUAGUC